GCACAGAUGGUGUCAAUGAGAGAGCUUGUUUCCUUGACUGGGGGAUGCUGCUCUGGGGAGGAGAGCUGCUGGGAAGACAGGGAGUCUACCUUUCAUCUUCAUGCACGAACUCACAUGAAGGAGGGCUUUAAAUGAUAUUCAGAGAGGUCCGGUGACAAAAGCCAACAGCUCAAGUGGCAGAGGUCUGUGCAGUGGAAUUAAAGGAUCCAACCCUGCUGAUGCCGAUGUUGAUAAGAUGCCAUCUAAUGGACUAGAACUCCUAUGGAAAACAUGAUUCAGUGCUUGUGCAUGGGGAAGUAUUUCCUAUUACAAGCACCCAGGGAAGUAAUCACAGAUUACUGGAGCCUUGAGCUGGUG